CAUUGCCAACACAAACAAGGUUGCAACAUCUCCCUCCAGUCUGUCUUCCUCUGCUCUGCUCUAAAUGUCAAGCAGCUACAUAGCACUGCUCACUUGCUUAACUGGGCAAAAUACCUGCUGUGGCAGCCCUGUGCCUUGACUGCCUCCGGGAGAAAGUUUCUUGGGAAUGGUAGGUGACAGAACCUGCAAGUCGGUCUUAGUCACGUUGACACCAGAUACCAAGAGUCUUGCGCAGGUUGCUGAAACAAGAAGCAUGUCCAGCCUUCAGGGCUAAUAAGAGCACGUUGUCCUUGGUGGCAGGAGGGAGCACCCUGCUUUAUCUAUGCAUUCCCUGGCAAGCAGGAGUGGUGGAGAAAGAGACAUGUCUCACUGCCCAGUCCCUGGCAAGCCAAAUCAUUCUACAAUCUCUGAAACUGAAGACACAAAAUCACCAGUGGAACAGUGCUGAUUGGGUCAGAGGUGCAAAGAUUUCAGCUGUCCAUUUCAAGAGCCAUCCUCCAGCUCACAGCUGGUACAAAUGGGUGUGACUCAUUGCACAGCCAGAGGUUAUAAUGAAGUAUCCCACUCAUCCUUUAGCUCACCCUUUGUUCAAGACAAUGCAGAUUGCAGAAGGUUUCUGAGGAGGAGUAUCUGGGAUAAGUUGCUGGGAAGAAGGAAGAAAGACCACAGUUCUAUUGGAAAGAAUGUCUUGAUGCUGAUUAUGAAAAUGAUGUGGAAGUCAUAGGCUGAAUUAAAUAUUUUUCCUUGGUGGAAAAUUGAUGGGAAAGCUUCCUGGUGUCAACAGCUCAUGUGAAACAGAGGAAGAGAUCCUUUUAUCACAGAAGAAGAGUGUCAAAAUCCAGAGCUAUUCUGAAUCAAUUUGCUCUUUUAAUUGUCUUGUGCAGACGUCUGUCUCUGCAGCAGAAAUGCUGAGCUCAUGAUUCAUGAAAACCAAGCACAUAAACUUGAGGAGAUACAAACAAAAUUUGUUCAUAACAGAAGGAGUUACAACGCCACACACACCACAUGUCCUGGCAACUCAUUCCCCCCAGGGGGAAGGAUGCAUGUCCUAUGUCCAGUCUGAGUACCCUGGGGCAGUGACAGGCAGGGGCAGAACUAUUGGGGUACUUGGCUUUUUUAAAGCUGCAACAUGGAGCUGUGGCAAUGCCAAAAAGUGUCCCUGGUCUGCUCUGUCUUAUUGCUGGGGGGCAGGAACUGUGGCUCAAAGGCUGUCCGCUGGCAACACAGAAAACUACACCAAGAGCACUGGUUCAGCUCUGCCGUAUCCAAUUUCUGUCAAGUGUAGAAUAAUAGCUAUCCAGCGAGCUGGGACAUGCUCCACCAGCAUCAAUAGGGCUGUGCUUCAGAGCAUCCCUCGAGGUAGCAAAGAAUUAUCCCCAUUUUAUAAAUGAGGUAACUCAGGCACAGGGAUUAAAGCCAGAAUGUUCCAAGCUGGCUGCCUACUGCUCGGUACCUACACCCAUAUUUACGCAACUCGUGGCCUGAUUUUCAGAAGGGCAGGGCAAUGAAAAUUUUGGCCUGAGGGGUUUGUUCACACACAGUUUACUGGUAACAACGCCCAGGAUGGAAGCCUGGUCUCUGCUACCUGUCUUACACCUUAACCACUGAAAACAUCCUUUCUACCACUAGCCAAGAGUUGGUGGAGGCUCCUGAGUGUCCCCAUUCGCCAUGCAGAGGUUCAGAGUUUGCAAUGCAGACUGGCUGCCUACGUGCUCUCAGCUAGAGGCUUUUAAAGAGCAAUAGCAAGAGUAAAACUGGUGAGAUUUCUUUGCUUCCUUCUCAGCUCUUCAGAGCCCAGGCAGCUUUGCUUGACUUGCAGUGCUUUGCUAAAACAGCAUGUCUGGUGUGUAAACCUCUGUUCUGCCUCACACAUGGCAUCAUCUUUCACCUCUGUCCCUUCACCAUGUCCUGCUCAGGACACCUCAGCCUGGCAGAGCACAGAUCCAGUGCAGAACCAGUAAGAGAAGAGAGAUAACUGGCCAGAUGGACAUCUGAACUGCUCAAAAGCACAAGCACCAACAGGAGCAAGUUAAUCCCAGUGCCCCCUCACCUCUCCUCUGCACUCUCUUCCUGGUCUUUCACUGAGCCUCAGAAAUAGCCCUGAUUUAUUGGAAACUCUUGAGAAGCAAGAUAAUAGAGUAAAAAACAUACUCCCAUACUAUCAACUUGCAAAACCUAGGAGGCAGAGCACUUGCUGGCUGGCUACAAUAGAGCUUUGCAAGUGUCCCUACUAAAAUCAUCCCUGCUAGGGGCUAAUGUGAUGCUUGUCUUAGCUUGUUAGAGAGCCUUGCUGUCUUUAGACACGUACUUGAAAAACAACGCUGGUGGUUGGUUGCUACCUGAGGGAAGAAGGACAAAGGAUCUCGGCUGUCUCUGUGGAAUGGUCACUGGUCAGGUCACCUCCAGCCUGACCUGCAAUACCAAGUGCAUGCUGCAAGUCCAUUGCUGUCAGCCCGUGUGCUUUGUCUCAUCUACAGAGCCCCAGCCACCUCUGACCUCUUCUUUCCCUCCCUUCAGGCCAUGUCCUGCUCACGAGGCUCCUGCUCAGCUGCUCUGCAGCUUCCCCCCACCCGGAGGGAGGACAGGCAAGAGGAGGUGACAACCUUCAGCAAAGGUUAAGGCUGGAAAAGAAGGAAGUGUCAGCUCAAUCAGGUCAGCUCAGCCAACCAACUGCUGCUGUAAUCCCUCUGCCUCAGGUUCCUGUGCUGUUCUGUUCGUGCUCUGAAUACUACUGUACGAGCAGCAGCCUAGUCCCCAUGGUACUGUCAUCCUGCAGCUUCCAGACAGGGAGAUGGGGAAAAGGGGUAAAGAGGAAGCAGCUGAUCAUAAGAAUCUCCCAGAACUGUUUCCAGAUCCUUCUUUUUGCAGUGUGUUUUGGGAGCGUGGACUUUGAGAUGGACUUUACUCCUACUGAAGUUCAGAAGGCCAGACUUUGCAGCUUCUGAUUUCUCCAGAAGACAGCUGAGAGCUAGAUCUGAAUCAAUGCCUAGGCUGGAAUCAGUUCCUUCUGCCCAGGUCAGAGAUGCCUCUUUCGGAUUGGGAGCAACUGAGUAUCACCAAUCUGUCAGCAACCAGGAGGAAGCUGGGGAACAAAUGCCUCCGAUUCAAUAAUACUUGGUGCUGCAUUUUAUAUGGCAGCCAGUGCAUUAUUCUGUGGUGAAAACAAACCCUAUUCUUCUCUGCCAGAUAAACACUCUUUAUCCUAUAAAGAGCAGCAUUUCUGACUGUUCAGCAGCAGCCAAACUCACGAUGGGAAAAAUAACAGGUGUUUGUAAGACACUCCCUGUUUAUUCACAGUGCUUAAAAUAAUUGCUUUAAAAAAAUCCAACAGAGAUUUUAAUUUUCUAUGCUCCCACACUUAAAAAAACAAAAACAAAAAAAGCCCUAAGCUUGGCUCAUAGUAGUUGAAGGCAAUUCAUUAUGAAAGGGGUGUACUUUCUGUUGUGGUAGCAAAGAAACCUGCUUAUGAAAGCUCCUGAGGAGCAGAAUAGUAAAGCAAAUUCCUGCCUAGAACCAACACUUCCCUGUGCUUUUCAUCAAGCUCUCCAGGUGGAAGCUUUUAUUAUCAAAACAUGUGAUUUUUUUUGUCAAAACGGGAUGAGCAGGGAUUAAGCUCCUCCAGUUGGUGCCCAUCAUUGACCAUCUCCAACACUGCCUUUUAUAAGGCAACGAUGGCCUUGGGCUGGCUUAUGCCCUUCCCUCUUGUUCUGGUGGUGGAACAGGAGAUAAGUGCACUGCUCCAGGGGGAAAAGUAUGUCUCAGAGGCACCAACCUUUCUUCAAUCACUGCUUGCUUCUCCGGGAAAUAACUGGCAAUGGAUCUUGAUCAAUAGACGGCUUUCCAGCACAAUGGGCUGACACACGGUGCUGGAGGAAGAGGACAGAGACUCCCUGUCUCCAUCCACUCUCCCCAUGCUUGCUUACAGCACAGAUGAGGGACAUACCUGAGCCGCCCAGAGGGUGAGGGGACGCUCAGUGCGUGGCUGCUGCCAGAAUUUGGUCCCUGUGGUGGUGAAUAGGCCAUGGAUGAAGUCCCUGCAGGAGCCACACAAGGGAAUGCAGCGUCAUUCCCGUGGGCUACAAGCUUAAUGAGACAACAAUCGUGGUGGUCCUCUGUCCUCAGGACUUUCCCUUCCUGUGGGGUAUGCCUCUCCUUGAGUCUGGCCCCCUGCAAGCUGUUGGGAUAAGUCACAGAUGCUCCGUAGCUCCCUGGGAGCCUGGAAAGAAUAGGAGCAAUAGGAGCCCACCUAGCAGCACCCCAGUGCUGUCCCAACACCCAGGUGCUGCUCCUGGUGGCUCCUGGACUGCCAUCCAUCUCACAGGUGGAUGUAGACACAGCCUAACUCUUCCCUCCAACACAGGACUGAGACACCCUGAUGCUGGCAGUAAAACACAGCCACAUUUUAGAUUUUACUGUUCCCACAAAGGUGCAGGAAGGGUUACACACCCAGACCGUCUCCCUGGGAGGGCUCACCUGUCUCUAAGCAGCGGACAUAGAGACAGGCAGAUGGGCUUUGUACAGACGAGGGGCUGAGCAGAGCUUGCAGCAGGGACAGGGCUCCCAGCGCGGUGGCUCUCAUCUGUGCCACGGCAGCGUUCCCAGCUGGGACCCGGGGCACCGCCGGGCUUGUCACACACAGCAGCCUCUGGCCUGAGCAAAAGAGACAGAUGAGAGCCAGAGAGAGAAACAGAGGCACAGGGGACAGCAGCAAUUUCCCGGGGGCCGGGCAAGAGAGUGGCGUGGGCCGGGGGGACUCUGCAAGGUGCCACUGCCACUCGGGCUGCGACAGCGACCUGUCCAGCCGCACAGGGGCUCCUCCAGCAGCGACUGGGAUGAAGCAGAGGGCAGCUCCCGAAAGGGCAUCGCCACAGGCACAGAGGAGGAGAUGAAAGAAGGCGGCUGCAGUGCGAAGCGGGGCAAGAUGAAAGGGUUCAGAGGCCGGAGGAGCAGAGACGGCGGUGACUCAAAAAGCAGAGCCAGAGGCAGCGGCAGCCGCCGCGCACUGAGCACGGAGCGGCCCCGGCGCAGACACAAAGGAGCGCUGCAGCAAAGCGCGGGGUCCGAGAGCAGCCCUGAGAUCAAACCCAUCCCCAGCCUAGCCAGACUGCAAGUGUCUGAGCAAUAAAGGAUCUCACACUGCUCCGUGCCGGCAGCUCGAGGCCUGCGGGGCGAGGCAGGGCUUUAUGCACACAAAUGAAGUACAACCAAGUCCUCUGCAGCAGCUGCAAUGGCCUGGGCAAAAAGCACAGGGAGGGGAGGAAUAGAAUAGAAUAGAAUAGAAUAGAAUAGAAUAGAAUAGAAUAGAAUAGAAUAGAAUAGAAUAGAAUAGAAUAGAAUAGAAUAGAAUAGAAUAGAAUAGAAUAGAAUAGUUAAGGUUGGAGUUCAACCAUUAACCUGACACAGCCACUAAAGCACGUCUCUGAGCACCACAUGUAUGCAUUUUCUGAUCACUUUGCAGGACAGUGAUUCCAUUACUCCCCUGGGCAGCCUGUUUCAAUGUUUGACAAUCCUUCCAGUGAAGAAACCUUUCUUGCUAUCCAAUCCAAACGUCCCCUCGUGCAACUUGGAGCCAUUUCCUCUUGACCAAUCAUCUGUCUGUCACCUGGGAGAAAAGAUUGACCCCCCCCCCACCUGUCCACAACAUCCAGUAGUUGUAGGAAGCAGUAAGGUUCCCCCAAGCUUCCUUUCCUUCAGACUAAACAACCCCAGCACCAUCAGCUGCUCCUCCUUAGACUCGUACUCCAGUAAGACAAGUGCUUCUCUAAUCAACAAGAAGAAGGAAGUGCCCUUUCUUAGGCAGGGUCUUACAGAAAAAAUCAAGAAGCAAAGCUUGUACCUUUGCUUUGAUACCAGUUAGGCACCAAAACCCAUUAAACCUUAUUCAAGAUGGUAAAAACCAAAAGUGGCAUUUCCAAGGCACCCAAUGUCUUUCAGCCCUGGAUCUAUCUGUCAGCAUGCCCCUGGGGCAGAUCUACGUGCCUGACUCUCCUUUGCCAGGCAGGCAGUCACCGACCCUGUGCAGCAUUUCAUCUCCACUGGAGCGAUACUGGUGACUCAGCACUUCCCCUGCAAGGCACUGCGAGGGCUCUGCUCCAGCGAGGGGAUUAUAGCAACAACCCAAGUGUAAUAAUGGUGUGGCUGAGCAGCAGGGAUUUAUGAGCAGGCAAAGAAAGUGAGAAUUAUAGGUGUCCAGUCCCUAUGACAGAACCACCAUAUAUUUCCUCCAACAAAGCGUGUGACAACAGCUCCAUAAAUUCACAUAGUAACAGAAGUGAGUGCCAGCUCAACAUUGCAGCUAUUUAAGGAGCCAAGUAGCACUCUGCUUAUUGCAGAAGUUCACAGUUAGUUAAAAAUAAGCAUUAAAAAAGUCACUUUUGGGCCCUGGCUGAAUAAGUCUUUUUAUUCAUGAUGCCCAGCAUUGCAUUCUGCCUCUUCUCCUUUUAUGCCUACACAGACUCUCUUUGGCAGAAUUUCAUGUUAGGUACUGUCAGCUUUCUUCUGACGGAGAUUAACUUAGGAUGUGCCAUAAACAAUUGUAAAACUUAUCUGUGACUAUGAAAUACUUGAUCCUUUUCAAUACCAGCAGAUCUGAAAUGUGCUUUAAAAAUCCUUUAGCUCCAGCCCAUUAAAUAACUAGGGAGAACUUCCCUGAGAUGUAAUUGCCGAAGAGAAUAACCCCAAUAUCCACAACAUGCUGAAUAGGGGUUUUUUUAAUGCUGUCUCAUGAUCAGAUUAUUUGCAGUACCUGUCAACUAAUGUGCUGUUUUUAUUGCUAAUUUAACACUUCUUCCUAAAGGGAGGAGGGGGAGAGGGUGAAAACAACUCUUCACAGUGAACUGGAAAUCAAAAAAUAGCUGUGUGUUUUGUUGUCACUUCUGCUACUCUCUUUUCUGACAUAUAAAGAGAAGCUCACUUUAAUAUGACUAACUCCCCUUUAAACAUGAGAAAUAUCAAGUUUCUCUGAAUCCCAUGGCUUUUAUUCUUUCUUCUUGAAGCUUUAGGAAAAAUUUGAAAGAGACAUCUCAGCUAGAAAGAAAAGUUGGAACUUUCUUAGGGUAAGAGUUAACAUCAGCAGUGAUUGGAAUGUAAUUUUCCUAUAAGAAAAAAUUUGGCAUCUCAGUGAAAAACUGAAAGAUAGGAAAUGGAAAUUAAGGCUUUCUGUCUGUGAAGCUGGAGCUCUAGGGCCCCAUUCUCCCCCAGAGCCUGCUGUCCUGCUCAGACUUGGUUUCCCAUGCAGCACCUCACACUACUGCCCAUUAAUCCCCUUUUCCUGGGAGCCUUUCCUGAAGUCAGGACAACAGGUGGGAAACCUGUCCUUGGAGCCUCAUGAGGACUUGGUGUGUGUGCACUAAAAAUUCGCCGAGACAUAUCCCACGACAUUUUCCCAGGGUCAAAAUUAUUCAUAUUAGCAAAGAGAGAGGAGAUUCUUGUUUGGUUGGUUUAAUAAGAAGGUGAUGUUUUGUACAGAAAUGACAUAACUUUGGAGGAAAAAAAAAAUAAAGUUACUCAAGAGCUAGUUUAAAAGAAAAGUGUUGAAUAGAAAAUUUUCAGCCAGCCCCACGGAGAUCCCUUCUUUAUCUCCAGGUUUGGAAGAGCUGCUGCCCUGCUCUCUGUGGUGGCUGGUGUCACGUUGCACGCUCCUCCAAGAGCAGCAGAUUGCUUAUGCAUUAGUUCUUUUGCAUAAUAACAGCAGUUAUAGUGGGCUUGGGUGUUUGAGGGGUUUUUUUUACACACAUUGUUUGCUGCUAACAAACUCAGGAAGGAAAUUUACAGUCUUGAAUGGGGAGUGAGGUCUGCGAGAGGUCCCCAGCAGGACUGAGGGGCUGAACCUUGCUGUGACUCAGCCAGCACAGGAAACGUUUGUUCUGAGCAGCCCCAUCUCCUUUCCCCCUCUGCUCCAAGCACAAGGUUUAUAAACAGGUCAUGGUAACUUCAUUUAAUUUUGCUUUUGGUUUUUUUUUUUCAUUCUUUUUCUUGGAGUGUUUCAUUGCUUUCUGUGUACAAGGUUAUUUACUAGAAAUAAAUGACAUUAAAUGGACAGUGAUUUCUGCUUGAGCAGAAAAUCUUGGGAAGAGGAUCCUCAGCUUUUGUGGUAGAGCAUUUGCUGUUCUUGGUUGGAUGCUGUCAUACUGUUUAUGCUGAAUUAAAUGCCCUUGUUCUCUACCUCUGCUCACACCUUGGAGACCAAAUAUUGCACACAAAAUUGGAGAGCUCCACAUGAGAGAGCAGGGCUCAGACAGGAGGGUGCAGCAAAUAUUGAGGACAGAGAGAAAAACCAUAAAUAAAAGAUCAACAUGGGGUUUCAUGCAGAGA